rnacentral:rRNA from 1 species
GACGAACGCUGGCGGCGUGCUUAACACAUGCAAGUCGUACGGUAAGGCCCUUUCGGGGGUACACGAGUGGCGAACGGGUGAGUAACACGUGAGUAACCUGCCCACAACUUUGGGAUAACGCUAGGAAACUGGUGCUAAUACUGGAUAUGUGCUCCUGCUGCAUGGUGGGGGUUGGAAAGCUCCGGCGGUUGUGGAUGGACUCGCGGCCUAUCAGCUUGUUGGUGGGGUAGUGGCCUACCAAGGCGGCGACGGGUAGCCGGCCUGAGAGGGUGACCGGCCACAUUGGGACUGAGAUACGGCCCAGACUCCUACGGGAGGCAGCAGUGGGGAAUAUUGCACAAUGGGCGCAAGCCUGAUGCAGCAACGCCGCGUGCGGGAUGACGGCCUUCGGGUUGUAAACCGCUUUCAGCAGGGACGAAGCUUUUUGUGACGGUACCUGCGGAAGAAGCACCGGCUAACUACG